rnacentral:misc_RNA from 1 species
AAGAAACUUCAUUUCAAUUUUACUAAACACAUACUCCAUAUGCAUUGAGGUUAUGUAUCUGUGCAUUAUAUACCUAUAUUGAGUGUUAUCUUAUAUUUCUGUUAUUAUUUUUAACUAUGUUAUUUUUACCAAAAAAACCACUAUUCUUGCUCUUAUGACUGCAAUUAAGCCAAAUUGAACCAAGCUUUAGCAUGUUUAGGCUUAGCCCGUUU